rnacentral:rRNA from 1 species
GACGAACGCUGGCGGCGUGCUUAACACAUGCAAGUCGAACGGAAAGGCCCUGCUUUUGUGGGGUGCUCGAGUGGCGAACGGGUGAGUAACACGUGAGUAACCUGCCCUUGACUUUGGGAUAACUUCAGGAAACUGGGGCUAAUACCGGAUAGGAGCUCCUGCUGCAUGGUGGGGGUUGGAAAGUUUCGGCGGUUGGGGAUGGACUCGCGGCUUAUCAGCUUGUUGGUGGGGUAGUGGCUUACCAAGGCUUUGACGGGUAGCCGGCCUGAGAGGGUGACCGGCCACAUUGGGACUGAGAUACGGCGCAGACUCCUACGGGAGGCAGCAGUGGAGAAUAUUGCACAAUGGGCGGAAGCCUGAGGCAGCAACGCCGCGUGCGGGAUGACGGCCUUCGGGUUGUAAACCGCUUUCGCCUGUGACGAAGCGUGAGUGACGGUAAUGGGUAAAGAAGCACCGGCUAACUACGUG